rnacentral:tRNA from 4 species
GGGCCUGUGGCGCAGUUGGUAGCGCGCCUCGUUCGCAUCGAGGAGGUCAGGGGUUCAAAUCCCCUCAGGUCCACCA